GUACUUUAUUCACCAUUCACCCAGCUGAAGUGCACUGGGGGAGUUGAAGAAAGCCUGAUUUUUUAGAUCAAUAUGUUGAAGUCAACUGGAUGAUUCAGUGCCAAAAGGUAGUUCUUUGAUGAAUUGACACUGCAGAUGGAAAUUUACACUCUUUGAAGAUUCCUGGCACAUCUGAACACAGAAAAUACUGCAUAUCUAAAUGUUUUAGUUAUACAAUGAGGAUUCAACUUCUCUUCCAUUAGUUGCUACUUGGAAUUCUAUGCGAAUGCCAAUUUAUGGAUAUUCUGUAACUUAUCCAUGGGAAACACUGAAAUUGAGAUUGAUGGAAGUAUCAGAACCAUCACAUCGCUGACACGCCAGAGAACAGAAAGAUAGCUAAACUGAGUCUCAGAAACAUGAAGUGAUUUACAGAAGAUCACCCAGCAGGCCAACAGUUAAAUGAGGAAUAGAAUCUGUGUCUCCUUAUUCCCUGAGAGAUUUUAUCCCAGUGGUCACCAACCAGUGGAUCUUGAUCCACCAGCAGAUCUCAGAGCCUCUUGGAGUCAAUCCAAGGCCAGCAUGGAGGGCUGAGUGUCCAUGUGCCCCAGCCCAGCAGGUCAGUCCAUGGGGGAGGGAAGGGGCGGGGGCUAGAUUGAGGCCCCCACAGUGAGGGACAGUGCCACAGAGGCAGAAGUAAGGUUAAGUUGAGUGGGGCCCUGGCCAGGUGGGACUUACCAGCUGGGGAAGCAUACCCCAAAAUAAUAUUGUCUCCCUCUGCCUCAAUCUGCUCCUCCCCUUUCCCUUCCCACAGGCUUACUUGCUGGGUGGGGGUAGAAAAAGGGUGGUGGCAACAUACGGUAGAUCUUGGGUUGCUUUUAAAUGCCAAAGGUGAUCUCCUACUUAAGUUUGGAGACCACUACUCUAUCCACUAGGUAGAGUGAGAGCCAUGAAUCCACCCUUUUACAUAAGUUUGCAAAGCAGGGCUAUUCCUUAGAAACAAUAGCAUAGAAAACAUGUAACUUGAGAAAACUUCCCCAUGUUAAGAACUAUUAGUCCUUACUUUAUUAAUGCCAUCUUCACUUCAG